rnacentral:rRNA from 1 species
UACGGAGGGUGCGAGCGUUGUCCGGAAUCAUUGGGCGUAAAGGGCGCGUAGGCGGCUCUGCACGUCCGUUGUGAAAUCGCCCGGCUCAACUGGGCGGGGUCAGCGGAUACGGCGGAGCUUGAGCAAGCUAGGGGGCAAUGGAAUUCCCGGUGUAGUGGUGGAAUGCGUAGAUAUCGGGAGGAACACCAGUGGCGAAGGCGGUUGCCUGGGGCUUUGCUGACGCUGAUGCGCGAAAGCGUGGGGAGCGAUCCGG